rnacentral:lncRNA from 1 species
GGGACUAAAUUAAAUGAGAUUAAAUAGUCUAACAGUAAAAAAUUUGCCUCACUCGCUCAUUCAAUAUAACGAGCUUGAAACAUGGCUCACAAAAUAGCGAGCUUGCUAAACAGAGCAAGCGAGUCCGACGAUAACCAACUUCUUCUUCUUCUUCACCUAGAAUUGUCACCACCAUAUCCCUAGCCGAACCACCAGAAUCACCACAGACAGUCGUCAAACCCAGUCACUCAAACCAUCC